UACGGGGGGGGCAAGCGUUGUUCGGAUUCAUUGGGCGUAAAGGGUGCGUAGGCGGCGUGGUAAGUCGGGGGUGAAAUCUUGGAGCUUAACUCCGAAACUGCAUUCGAUACUGCCGUGCUUGAGGACUGGAGAGGAGACUGGAAUUUACGGUGUAGCGGUGAAAUGCGUAGAUAUCGUAAGGAAGACCAGUGGCGAAGGCGGGUCUCUGGACAGUUCCUGACGCUGAGGCACGAAGGCCAGGGGAGCAAACGGG
rnacentral:rRNA from 1 species